GAUGAACGCUGGCGGCGUGCCUAAUACAUGCAAGUCGAGCGAACAGAUGAGGAGCUUGCUCCUCUGACGUUAGCGGCGGACGGGUGAGUAACACGUGGAUAACCUACCUAUAAGACUGGGAUAACUUCGGGAAGCCGGAGCUAAUACCGGAUAAUAUAUUGAACCGCAUGGUUCAAUAGUGAAAGACGGUUUUGCUGUCACUUAUAGAUGGAUCCGCGCCGCAUUAGCUAGUUGGUAAGGUAACGGCUUACCAAGGCAACGAUGCGUAGCCGACCUGAGAGGGUGAUCGGCCACACUGGAACUGAGACACGGUCCAGACUCCUACGGGAGGCAGCAGUAGGGAAUCUUCCGCAAUGGGCGAAAGCUUGACGGAGCAACGCCGCGUGAGUGAUGAAGGUCUUCGGAUCGUAAAACUCUGUUAUUAGGGAAGAACAAAUGUGUAAGUAACUAUGCACGUCUUGACGGUACCUAAUCAGAAAGCCACGGCUAACUACGUG
rnacentral:rRNA from 1 species